ACUUGUCUAUGGUGAGAUCAACAAACUCCAGAUGAUCUCACAAGCGAAGCAGGGUCAGGCCUGGUUAGUACUUGGAUGGGAGACUGCCUGAGAAUAUCAGGUCUCACAAGGC